GACAGAGGGUGCAAACGUUGUUCGGAAUUACUGGGCGUAAAGCGAGUGUAGGCGGUCUCAUAAGUCGGGUGUGAAAGCCCUGGGCUCAACCCAGGAAGUGCACUCGAUACUGCGAGGCUAGAGUAUCGGAGAGGUUGGUGGAAUUCUCGGUGUAGAGGUGAAAUUCGUAGAUAUCGAGAGGAACACCGAUGGCGAAGGCAGCCCCCUGGGCUAACACUGACGCUCAGGCACGAAAGCGUGGGGAGCAAACAGG
rnacentral:rRNA from 1 species